rnacentral:rRNA from 1 species
AAUGAACGUUGGCGGCGUGGAUUAGGCAUGCAAGUCGUGCGGAAGUGGCCCGCAAGGGUUACUUUAGCGGCGAAAGGGAGAGUAAUACGUAGGUGCCUACCCCUGGAACCGGGAUAGCUGCGGGAAACUGCAGGGAAUACCGGAUAACGUCUCCGGACCAAAGGUGGGAUUCCGUCCGGGGAGGGGCCUGCGUCCUAUUAGCUAGUUGGUGAGGUGAUGGCGCACCAAGGCAAAGAUGGGUACGGGGUAUGAGAGUAUGCCCCCGCUCACUGGGACUGAGACACUGCCCAGACACCUACGGGUGGCUGCAGUCGAGGAUCUUCGGCAAUGGGGGAAACCCUGACCGAGCGACGCCGCGUGUGGGAUGAAGGCCCUCGGGUUGUAAACCACUAUCAGAGGGGAUGAAAUGCUAUGGGGUUCUCUCCAUAGUUUGACAUAUCCUCAGAGGAAGGACGGGCUAAGUUCGUGCCAGCAGCCGCGGUAA